rnacentral:rRNA from 1 species
AUUUUGGACAAUGGGGGAAACCCUGAUCCAGCCAUCCCGCGUGUAUGAUGAAGGCCUUCGGGUUGUAAAUUACUUUUGGCAGAGAAGAAAAGGUAUCCACUACUACGGGUUACUGCUUCCGGUAUCUGCAGAAUAAGCACCGGCUAAAUACGUGCCAGCCGCCGCCGUAAUACGUAGGGUGAAAGCCUUAAUCGGAAUUAAUGGGCGUAAAGCGUAUGGAGGCGGUGCGGAAAGAAAGAUGUGAAAUCCCAGGGCUCAACCUUGGAACUGCAUUUUUAACUGCCGAGCUAGAGUAUGUCAGAGGGGGGUAGAAUUCCACGUGUAGCAGUGAAAUGCGUAGAUAUGUGGAGGAAUACCGAUGGCGAAGGCAGCCCCCUGGGAUAAUACUGACGCUCAGACACGAAAGCGUGGGGAGCAAACAGG